rfam:Oryza glumipatula chromosome 11, whole genome shotgun sequence.
AAGAAGACAAAUCCUGGUUUCUGUGCCCAACGUUUGACCGUUCGUCUUAUUUGAAAAAAUUAUGAAAAAAAAUUAAAAAGACAAGUUAUGCAUAAAAUAUUAAUCAUAUUUUAUCAUCUACCAACAACGAAAAUACGAAUUAUAAAAAAAUUUCAUAUAAGACGGACAGUCAAAGUUGGACAUGAAAACCUAGGGUUUGUCUUUUU